UGAAUGCUUUGAAAGAGAAGUGGUAUGUACCCAACAUAAUAAAGCCACUAGCUAUUUAUGCUGAAGGUUGUCUGGUUGCCUGAAUGAUUUAUCAGAAAGAGCGUAGUCUAUCCCCUUGUCUCAGAUAUUUUAGUCUAACUCCAGAGCAUAACUUAAAAAGUUGAGUAUUGAUAUCUUAGGGAAAAAGAGCAGAAAAGCAUGUAAAAUCUAAAAUUUCUUAACUCUCAAAAAAAUUUAAAAAGGUAGAUAGUAUCAAACAACCAAGACUGUAUACUCUUACCAAAAGUACUGGAAAUAACAUUUUAAAUCUG